rnacentral:lncRNA from 1 species
CACACGUGAGAUCAAUUUCACAUCUAAUCAAAGAUUUCUCAACUCUCACAAGAGCUCUUGGGUGGGAUUUUGAGUUUGGGUUUGUGGAUUAAGAAAGGAGAAGAAUGCCAGUGAAAGUUGAUCAUUAAGACUUCUUGGAGAUAUGAUGCCGGAUGUUUCAUAUGUUUCUUUAGAAGUGGUUAGAGAGCAGAUUUAGUUGAUGUGCCAUAACUGUGAGUUGAUAACGAUCAUUAUCACAUAUUUUUACUAUUAAUAUUAUUGAUAUUUUGAUAAUUUUCUAUCUUAAAGUGUUUAUAAAAAUGGGGAACAUGCCCUUUGAACAUUUUUCUUCUCAUUGAUACUUAUGUUUAAAGUCAUCGAUAUUAUUAUGGUCUCUAUUUGAAUUUAUCUAUGACUUAUUGAGCAAAUGAUUUGAAAAUAGAUGUUUGGUUGCAUAGACUAUGACAUGGGUUUUCAGAUAUGGAGAAAUACGGUUUUGAGAUAUAUGUUUUUGGGAAUUUUCGAUCCUAAUAUAUACUUGCUUUGACGCUAAUUAUGAUUUAUAAAGUAUUGGAUUUGAAAUGGAGAUUUGAUUGCAUAUAUUUUGUGCAAUAGUUUUGAUAUUUUCCUAUAACUAGAUUUGACUAUUUUUGAUAUGUUGUAAAGCAUAGUUUUGAAAUUUGUGUUUUUCGAAGAUUUUGAUAUUAAUAUGUAAUUGAUUUGAAUUGGAUUUGAAUUUUGAUUUAUUUAUGAUUAUUAGUAGAUUUACCAUUGAGUUUUGAUGGUACAUAUUUUGGCAUAGUUUCUAUAUUUUGUAAAAUACGGUUUUAGAGACGUUUUGAGAUUUUUGUUUUGAGAAUACGAUUAUAAUUGUGACGAUCUAGGUGCACCUAGUAUGUGAUUUCAAUUAGGUAGAAUUACCCCAUUAGAUGGAGCCGCCCCUAUGGAAAGGCCGCCAUUAGGAGGAGAGGGCUAUCAAUGAGAGGUAAACUCCCUAAUUGAAAAUGUUUUACACUUUGUUUUGAGUCGAGAGAAAAGAGCUAUCCGUUAGAUGGAGCCGCCCCAUGGAAAGGCCACCAUUAGGAGGAGAGGGCUAUCAACGAGAUGGAGCUAGUUCUCGAUUCACCCAUUUGAUUAUUUUCACCAAAGUUAGAUUUCUAUACUUUAUUUAAAGUUGAUUAUUUUGGUAUUAUGAAAUUGAAUAUGAUUUUAUAUUUUCUUUGAAGUGAUUAUUUUGAUUCCAUUUCAUUAAGCCCGAUUUUUAUAUUCUAUUUGGAUUUGAUUAUCUCGAUUCCUUUUCAUUAUAAUCGAUUUAUAUAUUUUCUUUAAAGUUGUGGAUUUGGUUUCACCUCUUGACGACAUUGAAAUUUUGAUAUAGUCUUAUUUGGUUUGAUAAAAUUACAAAGUUUUAUGAAUUUUCAUGGUACACUUGAUUGUGAAUUUAUUAUAUUUUUAUACAGUUACUAGCCUUGAAAGUUAAAAAUUAGAUUUGAGAAAAAUAAAUAAUCGUGUCCUUUUGCGUUUCCCUUCUAGUUGGUGGUGGUUGUUGUCUCUCACUAAGUCCUUGUAACUUACUCUUUUAUUUUCUAUUUUUUUCAGAUUUUCAAGCAGCUAAGUAGGAAGCUGCUAGUAGACUCAAAGUUCAGCCGUGUCACUCUUUUUGGUAGGCUUCUUUUAUGGAUGUCUCUUUUGUUUAUGUAUAUGUUGAAUCAGAGUAUCUGCAGCUAUUUGGAGUCUAGGAAUGUUUUAUUUGAGAUGUACAAAUAUGUAAAUAUGUCUUUUUGAAACUCUGGAUGAGAAUACAGGUUCAUA